rnacentral:rRNA from 1 species
GGGCCCGCACAAGCGGUGGAGCAUGUGGUUUAAUUCGAUGAUACGCGAGGAACCUUACCAGGGCUUAAAUGUAAGUUGCAUUAGUUAGAGAUAGCUAUUUCUUCGGACCACUUACAAGGUGCUGCAUGGUUGUCGUCAGCUCGUGCCGUGAGGUGUCAGGUUAAGUCCUAUAACGAGCGCAACCCCUGUUGUUAGUUGCCAGCGAGUCAUGUCGGGAACUCUAACAAGACUGCCGGUGCAAACCGUGAGGAAGGUGGGGAUGACGUCAAAUCAUCACGGCCCUUACGUCCUGGGCUACACACGUGCUACAAUGGCAAGUACAACGAGUCGCAAUACCGCGAGGUGGAGCAAAUCUCUUAAAGCUUGUCUCAGUUCGGAUAGGAGUCUGCAACUCGACUCCUUGAAGUUGGAGUC